UUGCAAUUUGGUGAUCAACUUAAUAGCUCGACUCUAAGUUGUUUUCUUGUGCAUUGAGGUUUUACUGGAACCCUUUCAAGUGCACUUAUUUGUAGCCUGGACUCUUAAUUGUAGUGGAGGGUUGUUGAGAUAAUUCAGCUGAAUGCUAGCUACAAAAAUGUCCAACAUCUGAAAAGUAUGUUCUUUUGCACACUCAGUUCUUGGACUGUGAAUAUCUGCAUCAGUUUUGCUCCAUGUUCAAGUCAGAUGGUUUCAUCGUCCUCUUGAAACGUAUCCUACAGAUUCCCUGUCGGGUUCAAAUACGACUAGUUGGCUGGCCAUUCAUCCCCAUUAUGUCCUGGUUAGCUGGCAAAGCAUUUGGUGGUAGUUUUGGUGCUGGGCAGGUACAAAGUCGUGCUGGCAAAGAAAACCAGCAUCUGAGUAAGAGGCCUGAAGUCCAGUAAAACUUCCACCAAUGAAGGGUUAAUUUUGUGUAAAAUUAAGGUCCUUUCACACCAGGAGUGUUUUUUUUUUUUUUUGUGCGAUUAUUUAAGACGUCAAUAUUUUUUUUGAACCCGUAUCCUGUGAAUACAAGCGUUCACAUCAGCAACAUUUUCCCGUUCUGCGAUAUUGCGGCAUUUAUUUUUUCAGAUCAUAGUUGAUUUUUCUAAAGUUUUGCAUACUGUGUGUCCACUUCUGACCAAUCAGAUUGCGUGUUGUUGCGGCAUCAAAUUCAGCGGUAUAUCCAACAUGGCCGACCGGCUGAUUGUUUACAUGUCUGAGAACAGAGUGCGUUUUGAUAAAAGACACAAAUAUUACAAAGAUAACAACCUGAAGGACAACAUAGCGUCGGAUCUCUCAUAUGACGAUGGUUUGUGUGCUUUAACAGUUUGCUAAACGUCUUUGUUUUAACUUUCAUCUGUGCUAACAUAAGCUAACGGUUGUUACCAUAGUUUCAUGUGCUUAUCUUCUCGCUUCUGAUUGGCUGUAGGUGCUGACUGUUUGGCUUGAGCGUGUGAUAACGUUUCCAGCUUUUCUAGCCAAUCAGAGGGGAAGGAGGCCGGACUUUCCCCUGGAAAAGUCUUCCCCGGGAUGUGUCUUUUUCCGGCAAAAUCGCAUCGGGCUUGAUGUGUAUAGUCAGCCACGUCAAAAUUCGCCCCUUUAAAAAUCUUUAAGAACAGAAAUAUAACUACUUUAAACUAUGUUUUGGACACUAUGUGACCAUGCCGAUAGUAAAUCUGUGCAAUUAUUUUCAGCAGUGAACAUUCAGAGUGUGUUUGUGUGUCUGUGUGUGUGUGCUACAGUGCCUUAAAAUUCCAUUAUCUGUGCGUAUAUAUGAGCCCCAGACUCUCCUGCAGGUCCACUCUCCUGCCAAAGCGGUGGUCCUGUGGUGUGUCUCCCUGCUCCUGUUAUCUCACGUUUCUCCCAUCUGGCUAUUGUGUCUCCAAUCUCCUCCACUUUAUCUAAUCUGCUCUCUUUAUCCCUGCAGGUCCCUGGUGUUGUUAUUGUGAUGCGCUUGAUCUUCAAGCUCUUUCAUCCCAAUAGAGACACACGCAGACACAUUACGUUUUACUGUGAGCUGGAAACACAAGUUAUGAGCAUGAUGUGAAUGUCUAUCCCUCUGGGUGUAUUUGAAGAUUGCAGCUACACUAAAUCCAGACGUGCAUUUUUUCUUUUUUCAUAUCAUUGUUGCCUUGCGGAGUUCGCCAUAUAUGGUCAUGUCUACAGCAACAGGCUGCAAACUGUCAGACUGGAUGCUUUUAGAGGAAGGAUUACAUGUUGCUCUUCUUCUUUACACUUCCUUUUUUUUCUGUUGUUUGUGAUGUUUUGCUUCCCUCUUUUCAUCAUCUCAUUUCUUUGUAAUUUUUAUGAAAUUCUGAGUAUUAUUGCAAAAACCUAUGCAUAAAUCAUCGAAACGACUCUCACUAUCUAAUUUCUGUAGACAUAACACACCAAGUGUAUUACCCAACUUACCGAACACUGAGAGCCUGACCCCGCAGCACCACACGAGUCAUACUGCGGGGGCGCGUGGGUGUUUGGGCAACUCUGGUAUUGCAUUGUGAGCUGGAUCACUCCUACACUAUAUUGGCACAAGGCAGAUAUUUCCUUCAUAUGAGCAAUAUUUGUGUGUGUAUCACGUAUCAUAGAAGUGGAAACUGUUCUUGUUUGUGCAGUUUGCAGUCUUUGUGGUCAGAUCUUAAGCUUCAUAAUAUUUACCUCCACCAAGGAGGUUAUGUUUUCGGUAGCGUUGGUUUGUAUGUUUGUUUGUCUGUUAGCAACUUUAAGGAGAAAGUAACAGAUGGAUUGACCUGAAAUUUUCACCAGAGGUACGCCUCAGCCCCAGGAGGAUCCCAUUAAAAAACACACAAAAAUAAGGGUGUCAUUGGAAUUUUCAAUGCUGAAAGAUAACCAAUCGGCGGCACAGUGGUGUAGAUAGGCGGCACAGUGGUGUAGUGAUUAGCACUGUCGCCUCACAACCAGAAGGUCCUGGGUUCGAAUCAUCAGGGCAUUUCUUGUUUAAGGGGGGACAUGAGCUGCUUGGCUGAGGUCUGCGCUCUCCGAGUGCUUUUCUAGUUUGAAUAGGUGUCAAGUCAGGUCUGCAGGUAGGCCGGUUUAUCAGCAGGACUCUUCUGCUUCAGAGCCAUGCUGUUGUAAUCCCUGCAGAAUGUGGUUUGUCAUUGUAUUUGCUGAAAUAUGAAGGUCUCCUCUGAAAAUGUCAUUGUUUGGACGGCAGCAGAUGUUGAUCCUAAACCUGAAGAUAUUGUUCAGCAUGAGCGGAGCCUUGGUAGUGUCUGUGUUGGCAUAUGUGUGUGGAGGUGAUUUAAUUGUAUGUCUUUUUUUUGUUGAAUUGUAAUGGAUAGGGAUUUCCCUCCUUUCACCUUUGUUUCGUUUUAACUGCUGUUUUGAUUUCAGAAAGUGACAUUUUUCCACUCUAGUUUAGAGUCGCCAUUUGUUGCGUUUAUUUGUUUCCUUGAGCAGCACUCCACAUCCUUCUGUUCCGCGCGUCAACUUUACAUUAAACAGCGCUUCAUCGUGUAUUUUUGCAAUAAACAAUAAUUUUUUACAUCACGGAACCGGGCCCCUGCUCUGGCUGUGUACUACAUGUGUUGCCUCGUCUUCCUAGGGAUUCUGGAUUUGAAGGUGUGGAGGAUGCAGUGUCCAUGAUUACCAAAUAAAGGGUUAAAUUCUGAUUCUUCAGAGACCAGGACUGGUCCACUUAAGUUCACUCAGGCCUGGGGAGGUUGCUGCUGUUCAUUAUGAAACAUUGCUGCACAAGGUAUCCUCUCCACAUUUCUUGACAUGGUCCAGUUCUUACUACCAUUUGUGGAUGCAUUAAUGAACUGUGGUUGAAGACAAUGGCUUUUAGAUGUGAUCUCCACGACAGAGUGAUUUCUGUUUUUAAUGAGUCGCUGCCUGAGGCCCGAAGAUCAUAGUCAUUCAGCUGCCCCCUAAUCACUUUGGUACAGAGCUUACUCCUGGUUCUCUGAACCUUGUCAUGAUAUUAUUUACUGUAGAGCUUUUCAGUUCUUCACGACCUCACAUUGAGGAACAUUACUUUUAAACUUAAACUGCUGAAACUCUUAAUUUCUUCACCUCUGAAGGACUAAGUCUUAUGGGAACCUUUUUUAUACUCAGCCUUUUUCUUAACUGGGGGCAAAUGAGCUUCUUUAGUUGGCUGAUGUUCUUCCAGAUGUUUUUUUAUUUAUUUUUUGUGCCCCAUAAGGAAAACCAUGAACUGUUUGGGUGACCAGACUUCAGGUUUUGGACAGUCAUGCUUUUGGUCAGAAGUUCGGGUUGGUCUCAGGUGAAUUCAUGCCUGUCUAACUUAUAAAAACACAACCAUGUGUGUACAUUUAUGCGCCUUAGAGGAGAGUGUCUGACCUCUCCUGACCACCUUUACCUUCCUCAACAUUUUCACUCUCUUGGUGAAUUUGUGAACGGCAUCUUUGCUUCCUUUAAAAAGGAGCUCAUCUCAAAUCUAUAUUUAUAACCUUCAUAAAAUCAAUUCAGCACCACAUAAGGCUGCCACAGGGUUAGUUUUUUCUGCAAGAGUUUACUCCUCCUGUAAAGAUCCGAGUCUGUUAUCUUCACCAGUCCACCUUAAGAGAUUUUUGCCUGCAGUUCUUCAUUUCUGCCUGAUGGUGUCAGCAUUGCACCAUGGAAGAAUGCUCUACAGCUGGGCACUGGCGCCAAGAGGAGGGUCUUGUGUUUAAGGUGGUUCAUGAGGGUUUUGAAACUUCUCCUAAGUGAGAAGUCUGUGUAGGAAAGACACCAAGAGAUCAUCAAGUGUGUUUUUAAAGAAAACCCAACAUCACUCAGUCCCUGAUGUGUGUGUUUCUGGUUGUGUUUUUGCAGCACAUCCACGCACGAGGGUUUGUUUUCGGUACUGUGCGGCCCCGUCCUCUGCUGCACCAGCACAGGCUGUGUCUUGGUGCGGCAUGAGGCGGCUGACACAGAGAAAGCAGCUUACGGCUCCUGGUCCCUGCCUGGUCCUGGUCCUGGCCGGGCCGGGCAGGGCGAGCGCCUGGAGGCCUCCCGGACUGCCACCAACAGGGCUUUAUCGGCCCUUAGGAUUAGUGCGAUUUCAUCAACCUGCAGCCUCACACACACACACAAACACAUGCAUGCGUGGUAUGCAGAGAGAAAGUGCAAGUAAAGAUUUCCCAUCAGGCAUCACUGUGUGCAGAAGUUCAUAAAACUGAUGGGACUUCUGGAUUUGUGUGGCUGCUUUGACCAUUCACUGCCUUCUGGAGCAAAGGUUGGCCUGAGGUGGGGGGUGGGCUCUCUGUGUGAGGGCCAAACAGCAACAGUUACCAGGGUCGUCAGUGUGUGUGUAGGGAUGGUUGUGUGUGUGUGAGCGUGGCCGGUGUCAGGGGUCGACGCUUCUCUCGGUUUGUGGUUUUAGGUCAGCCGGAGAACAUCACACUGAUUCAUUUAAGCUCGAAUUUGCGGACUGCUCCUUUAAUCCCCCCUUUUUUUGCACGAUCCUGUAGGUUAAAAUCUACACAUUUAGUCAAGCAUUCAUCUUGUCGGAGAGUCUGUUUUCCAGUCCGAACAAACAGCCAGGAAAGUCGGCGUUCAAUCAAACUGCGUUGACGGUUUUCUUCUGUAAUUCCCAGAACGUUUCUAAUUACCUGCAUCAGGUCUUAAACACUUUACUCUCAGCUCCUUCAUAACAGCCUAAUUUGAGCGAACAAAUUGCAUCAUAAAUCGGGCCGGUAAUCAGACGCUGACAGCAAACUGGAUCAAGUGAACAGCGAGUCCACUAAAAUAAUCAUCAAGCGGCUCGUGUAACAUGUUGACUGACAUUUACAUUUCAAUUCCAAACCAUCUGAAAACACUGUGAAGUAGGUCAGGUCUGACGGAGGAGUUGUGUGUCCUACUUGCUCGCACACAAACCCAAAACCUUUAACUCAUUCUCCUCUUUGACUCGGAGUUUACUUAAGCCUGAUGUAUGUGCGGCGGCGAGGGCUGCGUGUCUGAACUGGUCACUCUCUUGGCUGCGGAGGCUGAAGCUAACACCAGCUUCCUUGUGUUCUCACUCACAGUUUGCGGUUGCUGACCAUCGCAGUGAUAUACCUCGUCUAGACGUGUAUAACCACAUUAAAAAUCUCCCUCAGGUGUGACUGCUUUUGUCCUUAUCCUCGGGUUAAACUAACACACUUGGAGAAACACCGGAGAAUACCUGGAGGGGUUACGGUGUGUCUCAGAGUGUGAAUAUCCGUCUAUGUUUAUGAAUGAUCGUGUUAAUGUGUGUCUGAGUUUUCUCGGUCUGUCUGUUUUUAUGGCCUCUUCUGUGUGUGAGUGUGUGUCUGUGUGUUUAUGUCUGUGUCUGUGUUUGUGUCUAUGUGUGUCUGCAGCUUUCAAGCGUAGGUGUUACCGUUGCACAUCUUCGUGUCUCUAAUGUUGGACUUCUUGCUGUUGUUUGUCUGAGGAAGCCCAUCGGGGGAUCCACUGUUACUUCUUGGCAUGAGGAGAGAAAGAAAAAGAAGAAAAAAGGGAAGGAAGGAUGGGUGUGGAUCAUGAAAAAGAGAGGAGAGGAAAAGAAAAAGUCUGAAUUUUUAACUCUGAAAUUCCACCAGAUCCAUGUUGGGUCCGACUCCACUCCAAUCCGGAUUAUCUCUCCGUCCCUCAACUGUGUUUUCAACCACAUUAACAGUUUUCUACAUCCAUAAUGGGCUCUAAAAACCUCUAACUUGUUGAUUAAAGGUCCUUACACACCGGGAACGACACAAAUAUACGACCCUACGUAAUCAAGAAAUAUUCAGAGGCGAAUUUUGACGCGCUUGACUAUACACAUCAAGUGCGAUGCAAUUUUGCGACUUUCUGGGGGGGAAAAAGACACGUCCCGGUGGAAGCGAGAAGACUGACACAACAGCAGACUGACUGUUUUUCAGUUCUAAUUAGACACUAGUGUUGAGAUGACUGUCUGUCAUGAUAGCAUGUACUGAGUCGGGGUCAGUACCAGAUAAGCACAUUAAACUAUAAUCCAUAAACAUAAGGUAACAACCGAGACCUAAUGGUGCUGUGACAGCAACACCAUUGAGUUUGAGACAGUGAAAAUACAUAUGGUAUGUUGUAUCUGAACAGGUUAGCUUACGAGCUAAAGUUACUUAGCACAGAUGAAAGUUAAAACAAAGACGUUUAGCAAACUGUUAAAGCACACAAAACAUCGUCAUAUGAGAAAUCCGACGCUAUGACUCUCCACAAGUUGUCCUUCAGGUUGUUAUCUUUGUAAUAUUUGUGUUUUUUUAUCAAAAAGCACUCUGUUCUCAGACACGUAAACUAUCAGCCGGUCGGCCAUGUUGGAUAUACCUGUGAAUCUGACGUCGCAACAACACGAAAUCUGAUUGGUCAGAAGUGGACACACAGUAUGCGAAACUUUAGAAAAAUCAACCGUGAUACGAAAAAAUGCCGCAAUAUCGCAGGACGGGAAAAUGUCGCUGAUGUAAACGGUUGUAUUGACAGGAUACGGGUUCGAAAAAAAUAUUGACGUAUGAAAUAAUUGCACGAAAAAAUUGGUCCCGGUGUGUAAGGACCUUAACUCCGCUCACCAUGGCCUUUUUUGGUGCAGGUGACAGUGUUUUAUUUUGAAAAUUAACUGGAUGUUUCGGUGUCUGGUUUCCUGUCUAUCUCAUACUGAUUGAUGCAUCCUACUUCGGUGUCUGUCCUGUCACUAUUGUCCUUAUUUUUCCUUCACUGAUCUGUUGUUGACAUGUGUCACCAGCAUAUCUCCAUCCUGAUUGCCUUCUGGGGUUCAAAUGAUUCACCAGAGUUCAGUUUUUCAAAGUUUGGGAAUAAGCGAGAAGUACAUUUAACAUAUGAACAUUUGAACAACCUGUUCCCGAAACUUUGCGGUAAUUUCCACUACAGAUCCAUGUGUGUUUUCAAUACAGUGCUGCCUGAGGGCCUGAAGAUCAAAUCCACCAAUGGAAUUUCUGGUCCUUUAGUACAGAGAGUCUCUGGACGGAGGUUCACUCUGGGUUACAUGUUCCAAUGUAACUGAGCUGUGCUGGAUUUGAUUCAAUAUUUCCAAUGAAUCGCAAACAAUCACAGCAAGUCUCAUAUAGAAGUGAGACAGACAGAAAGUGGUUUUGAUAGACUCUGAAACUGAGACUGUUCUGUAUAGUUUUUGUUGCUAUCUGAUAGUCUAUUCUCCUCGUGAAUCACAGCGGCCUCAUUUCACAUUUCAUAACCUGGACCGAAACCAAACUUUUAGCACGCUACUACCAGAGGUAAGUAAGAAAACCUGCUGCUUAAUUGUUUUGUCAUUGGAGUCACAGCCGGCAGCGGAUUGUUCCCUUCGAUACAGAUAAAAAUCUCAGAAGCUGUUAAGAGAUAAAAGACAACAUACAAAAGCGAAACUAGAGGAGGCCGUUUUAUGCCAGUUCUUUAUAAUCAUGUUUUUGGGGGAUUUCCAUUAUAAUUAAACAGACUGUACAACAUUUUCUCUUCCCUUCAGCAGUGCAUCAAACUGCUCAUUUAGAAGUAUUACACCCCCACUGACUGAUAUAUGACUUUGACAUUUGCAGUGAUUUAAUUACAGAGCUCUCCCAUCACUUUAUGGUAUCUCUAAGCGGGCUAUAUAAACAGUUGUCUUUAAUGGUGCAUCUAUGUGACGCCAACUUAAACUAGUUCUGAGGCCCUUUUUGUUCGCUCUCUUUUAAAGUGGGUGCUCAUUAGCGUGAUUACAGGUGCAGGUAAGAGCGAAAUCGGUGGAGCCAAAGCACAAACUGUGGCGUCUUUGUUGGGAACAUCUUCUCAGAUAGUUUAGCUGCGUUGUAACGGCCGCUGGUGGUGGGUGUUUGGGAGAAUUAAUGAAAUAAAGGGAAACCCACAUGCUUAUUUAGUUUGAAUCAAACGCUGUCGUAUUAAACCAUAGCAAUCAUUUUUCAUGUCUUUUCUGCAGGAGUUUGAACACGCCUGUCAAUAAAAGAGGCUGUGAUUGUUGUACGAUUUAAUCCGUAUUUACAGAGCUGUCAGCAAGUCUUAGCUCUAACUCCACUCUCCUCUCUUAAUCCCUUUUUUUGCUGCAUCCUCAACUUUUUUCCGCCUUCAUUUCUGCUUUUUGAUUCCCUUUCGCAUGACUCAUUUUGACUAUUUUCAUCAGUUUCUCAGCCCUGCGUUCUUCCUCGUUCAUUCCUUCACUCUCAAGCUUA